rnacentral:tRNA from 1 species
GCCUUUGUGGUGUAAUGGUCAACGUACUCGGCGCAUAUUCGAGAGGUCCAGGUUCGAUUCCCGGUGAGGGCA